UAUUAGUUUGUAAGGGGCUCCAGCAUUGUACACACACUUUGAUUAAUGAGAAGCUUUGCCUUUGCUGCCUGUCGUGAUAUGCUCUUCCUUGUGUGAAUCAAGGUGUGAUUGGUGGUGAAUCCAGUCAACACCUUGCGAUGGAAAGCCAAGGUGGCAUUGUUCUUUACUUGUUAUUCAUUAAGGUACCAUUCUGAUUUUCAGAUUCUCUCUGAUUUUAAU